ACUUUUAAAGGAAAACAGCACUCCACUAAUUUUAGGUAUUAGACCAUCUUGGUGCAACUCCAAGUAAAAGUA
rnacentral:tRNA from 1 species